rnacentral:rRNA from 1 species
UCUUCCGCAAUGGACGAAAGUCUGACGGAGCAACGCCGCGUGAGAGAUGAAGGUUUUCGGAUCGUAAAACUCUGUUGUUAGGGAAGAACAUGUACCGUUCGAAUAGGGCGGUACCUUGACGGUACCUAACCAGAAAUCCACGGCUAAAUACGUGCCAGCUGCCGCGGUAAUACGUAGGUGGCAAGCGUUGUCCGGAAUUAUUGGGCGUAAAGCGCGCGCAGGCGGUUUCUUAAGUCUGAUGUGAAAGCCCCCGGCUCAACCGGGGAGGGUCAUUGGAAACUGGGGAACUUGAGUGCAGAAGAGGAGAGUGGAAUUCCACGUGUAGCGGUGAGGUGCGUAGAGAUGUGGAGGAACACCAGUGGCGAAGGCGACUCUCUGGUCUGUAACUGACGCUGAGGCGCGAAAGCGUGGGGAGCGAACAG